rnacentral:rRNA from 1 species
UACGUAGGGGGCAAGCGUUGUCCGGAUUUAUUGGGCGUAAAGAGCGUGUAGGCGGCCUGAAAGGUCAGCUGUGAAAACUCGAGGCUCAACCUCGAGACGUCGGUUGAAACCAUCUGGCUAGAGUCCGGAAGAGGAGACUGGAAUUCCUGGUGUAGCGGUGAAAUGCGCAGAUAUCAGGAGGAACACCGGUGGCGAAGGCGGGUCUCUGGGCCGAAAUUGACGCUGAGGAGCGAAAGCGUGGGGAGCGAACAGG